rnacentral:rRNA from 1 species
CCUACGGUGGGCAGCAGUGGGGAAUAUUGCGCAAUGGGCGAAAGCCUGACGCAGCGACGUCGCGUGAGGGAUGAAGGUCUUCGGAUCGUUAACCUCUGUCAGCAGGGAAGAACGGUCACUGUGCUAAUCAGCAGUGAAUUGACGGUACCUGCAAAGGAAGCCACGGCCAACUCCGUGCCAGCAGCCGCGGUAAUACGGAGGGGGCGAGCGUUAAUCGGAAUUACUUGGCGUAAAGCGCUCGUAGGCGGUCUGUCAAGUCAAGGGUGAAAUCCCCGCGCUCAACGUGGGAACUGCCUUUGAAACUGGCAAACUGGAGUGUGUGAGAGGAUAGUGGAAUUCCAGGUGUAGGAGUGAAAUCCGUAGAUAUCUGGAAGAACAUCAGUGGCGAAGGCGACUAUCUGGCACAUAACUGACGCUGAGGAGCGAAAGCGUGGGUAGCAAACAGGAUUAGAUACCCUAGUAGUC